rnacentral:tRNA from 1 species
GGAUGUGGCUCAGUGGUAGAGCACUUGCCUUGCAUGCCUGAGGUUCUAGGUUUGAUCCCCAGCACCA